rnacentral:rRNA from 1 species
UACAGAGGGGGCAAGCGUUGUUCGGAAUUACUGGGCGUAAAGGGCGCGUAGGCGGCCUUCUAAGUCGAACGUGAAAUCCAUGGGCUCAACCCAGGAACUGCGUCCGAUACUGGGAGGCUUGAAUCCGGGAGAGGGAUGCGGAAUUCCAGGUGUAGCGGUGAAAUGCGUAGAUAUCUGGAGGAACACCGGUGGCGAAGGCGGCAUCCUGGACCGGCAUUGACGCUGAGGCGCGAAAGCCAGGGGAGCAAACGGG